rnacentral:rRNA from 1 species
CAAGGACGGCAGCAGGCGCGAAAAUUGCCCACUCUUUGCAGGAGGCAGUUAUGAGACGUGAAGAUGAGUAUCUUGUAAAGAGGGAUAGGAGAAUUGGAGGGCAAGUUUGGUGGCCAGCAGCCGCGGUAAUACCGACUCCAAGAGUGUGUAUGAGAGAUGCUGCAGUUAAAAAGUCCGUAGUCAUAGAAGGGCAAAGAGAGAUGCGAGGUCUCACAGUGCGAUGAUGGAGGAGCCGAUGGGGAACAUAGUAUACCAGGGCGAGAGAUGAAAUGCCAAGACCCCUGGUGGACUGAGCGAGGCGAAGGCGAUGUUCUUGUAGGCAUUCGGUGAUCAAGGACGAAGGCUGGAGUAUCGAAAGUGAUUAGAUACCGCAGUAGUUCCAGCAGUAAAAGAUGCCGACAUGCUCAUUGGACACAGUGGGCAGGGAGAAAUCUUAGAGUUCGGGCUCUGGGGAUAGUAUGCUCGCAAGGGUGAAAAUUAAAGAAAUUGACGGAGCUACACCACAAGGAGUGGAUUGUGCGGCUUAAUUUGACUCAACGCGAGGAAACUUACCAGGGCCAAGUAUUGUGUAGAAACGAGCAAUACAGGAGUGGUGCAUGGUCGUUGGAAAUUGAUGGGAUGACUUUGACCUUAAAUGGUUGAAUGAGUGAGAUCUUUUGGACAUGUUCCGCACGGAACAGGAAGGAAAAGGCUAUAACAGAUCCGAGAUGCCCUCAGAUGCCCUGGGCUGCACGCGCAAUACAAUAGCAGGUAGAGAGAGAGACAGGAAGGUGCUCAGAUGGA